AACGAACGCUGGCGGCAUGCCUAACACAUGCAAGUCGAACGAGACCUUCGGGUCUAGUGGCGCACGGGUGCGUAACGCGUGGGAACCUGCCCUUAGGUUCGGAAUAACUCCCCGAAAGGGGUCCUAAUACCGGAUAGUGUCUUCGGACCAAAGAUCUAUCGCCUUUGGAUGGGCCCGCGUUGGAUUAGCUAGUUGGUAGGGUAAAAGCCUACCAAGGCGACGAUCCAUAGCUGGUCUGAGAGGAUGAUCAGCCACACUGGGACUGAGACACGGCCCAGACUCCUACGGGAGGGAGGAGAGGGGAAUAUUGGACAAUGGGCGAAAGCCUGAUCCAGCAAUGCCGCGUGAGUGAUGAAGGCCGUAGGGUUGUAAAGCUCUUUUACCCGGGAUGAUAAUGACAGUACCGGGAGAAUAAGCUCCGGCUAACUACGUG
rnacentral:rRNA from 1 species